UACAGAGGAUGCAAGCGUUAUCCGGAAUGAUUGGGCGUAAAGCGUCUGUAGGUGGCUUUUUAAGUCCGCCGUCAAAUCCCAGGGCUCAACUCUGGACAGGCGGUGGAAACUACCAGCUGAGUACGGUAGGGGCAGGAGGGAAUUUCCGGGAUUCGGAGGACGGCUGAAAUGACGUAGAGAUCGGCAAAAGAACACCCAACGGGCGAAAAGCGCUCCUUGC
rnacentral:rRNA from 1 species